rnacentral:lncRNA from 1 species
CAAAAUUUCUGCAACUUGAUAGUUGUCCAGUGCUCAGUGAUCCAGGCACUUGACCCUACAGCCAAGAGAGAGGGAAGACUACUUACUGGUCUAGCUGGCAGCAGACCCUGGCCUCGUCCACAUGAUGCUUUUAGGUGCAUGCAGAAUGCAAGAGUUGUGGGGUCAGGAAGGCUUCCACUCAGAUUUCAGAAGGUCUGGGAGGCCAGGCAGGGUGCCCGUGAGAAGGCAGACUGUGAAGUUGUGAGUGUGAAAAGCCAAAGGUGCAGUGGAGACCCCAGAAGUUUGGGGAAGCCAGGAGUGUGGUUCAUCUGAGGAAAGCUGCAAGGAGGGAGCAGAACCUGCCCAAAAGAGAAGCUGUGGGAGCUACAAACAUCUACAGGCUGUAGGGGCAGAGUCACCCAAGUCCUUUGGAGUUCACAUCUUGCCACAGAUUGCCUUGGAUGCCGCACUGGGAACUACAGGAUUUAAUAUUUGCCCUGCUGGAUUUUGGACUUGCUUUGGUCCAGUUUCUUUGUAUUCCCAUUUGUACCUUUUGGAAUGUUAAUGUUUAUAUUGUGCCAUUGAAUGUCGGAAGUGUUUGACUUUCUUUUCAUUUGUACAAGGGCUUGCAGCUAAGAGUUUGCCUUAAAUUUCAGAGAAGACUUUAGACUUGGACUUUUCAGCAGUGCUGAAAUUAUUAGGAUUUAGGCAACUCUCGGAGAUGGACUAAAUGCCUUUUGCAUAAAGGGAUGUGCAUGAGUCUUUUCGGGGCCAGGGGCGGACUAUUACAGCUUAGGGUUAGAUGUCCCCCCCAAAGCCUCAGGCUUUUUCAGAGGUGGGUGAAUCUAGAGCGUGUGAUUGACUCAUGGUGGGGCCACCCUGCGGGCACUAGGGUUAAGGGCGUGAGUGCUGCCCACCCUAAGUAGUCUGAAUAACAUAAAAGGGGCAGAAAGACGCUGUUGAGGUCCCUUGUUGCUUUUGCUACUACCGUGUGGGCGCCAGGAACUGCUUCUCCUCUGUGACGCCCCUCCGCCAUGUGCCACUCUGCCUUGGAGCCAGCCAACUAUGGACUGAAACCUCUAUGAACUAUAAGCCAAUAAACCUUU